CCAUGCAUGGCUUAAUCUUUGAGACAAGCAUAUGACUACUGGCAGGAUCAACCAGGUAGCAUUCUUUCUCGACUUCGGACCCGCAUUGAUGCCACGGGCCUAGACGGCCUGCGGUCAAUGAGGUASCGAGAGUCAUUCUUAUCGAGGGACUUGAUUGGAGCGACCGGAGGCCAAGACCCCCCGCGUCCGCUUAAUUUUCCACAUCCGAGAGCACGAGCAGUUGUCCUGUGGACCGAGACAGCCACGACAAGAGUCGGAGGACACAUCCGGGACACGGGGACUGCUUUCGAGGUCCGCAUUGCAGCCGCAAAGCAACAAGGAGGACAGGUGCGGGGCUGUCCGACGAAUUUUUCCAUACGAUGGGAAGGCAACACAGGAACC
rnacentral:misc_RNA from 1 species